rnacentral:rRNA from 1 species
UACGUAGGGGGCAAGCGUUGUCCGGAAUUAUUGGGCGUAAAGAGCGCGUAGGCGGUCCGAUAAGUCGGCUGUGAAAGUCAGGGGCUCAACCCUUGAAAGCCGGCCGAUACUGUCGGACUAGAGUCCGGAAGAGGCAAGUGGAAUUCCCGGUGUAGCGGUGAAAUGCGCAGAUAUCGGGAGGAACACCUGUGGCGAAAGCGGCUCACUGGACCACAACUGACGCUGAUGCGCGAAAGCUAGGGGAGCAAACAGG